rnacentral:rRNA from 1 species
CAGUUGCAACGGUAAGGCCGGGCACUCUGGAUGGACUGCCGGCGACAAGCCGGAGGAAGGUGGGGAUGACGUCAAGUCAUCAUGGCCUUUAUGUCUAGGGCUACACACGUACUACAAUGGCCGGUACAAAGGGCAGCCACUCAGCGAUGAGGCGCUAAUCCCAUAAAGCCGGUCUCAGUCCGGAUCGCAGUCUGCAACUCGACUGCGUGAAGUUGGAAUCGCUAGUAAUCGUAGAUCAGCAUGCUACGGUGAAUACGUUCCCGGGCCUU